ensembl:miRNA xtr-mir-138 xtr-mir-138
CGGUGCGGAGCAGCAGCUGGUGUUGUGAAUCAGGCCGUGACCACUCAGAAAACGGCUACUUCACAACACCAGGGUUGCUUCUCAC